GAAUAUACACUAAGUUAUGAGCUAGCCAAGGUUCUUGUGAUGUUUUUUUACCUAAAUAAGCUGAUUAUGUCAUAAAUGAACUAAAUUAGCUAAUUAUGUCAUUUUGGAGGAUAAUUAGCCAAGUGUGUCUUUCAUGGGGAAAAUAAGUUAAGGAGAAGAAGAAAGAGGAGAAGAAGAAGGAGAAGAAGAAGAAGGAGAAGAAGGAGGAGGAGGAG
rnacentral:lncRNA from 1 species